UUACGUCCAUAUCACGUUGAAAUACCAGUUCUCUCACAAUCAUCAAAGUUAAGCAACGUCGAGUCUGGUCAGUACCUAGAUGGGUGACCGCUUGGUAAUAGCAGGUGCUGUAAG